GAUGAACGCUGGCGGCGUGCCUAAUACAUGCAAGUCGAGCGAACAGACGAGGAGCUUGCUCCUCUGACGUUAGCGGCGGACGGGUGAGUAACACGUGGAUAACCUACCUAUAAGACUGGGAUAACUUCGGGAAACCGGAGCUAAUACCGGAGAAUAUAUUGAACCGCAUGGUUCAAUAGUGAAAGACGGUUUUGCUGUCACAUAUAGAUGGAUCCGCGCCGCAUUAGCUAGUUGGUAAGGGAACGGCCCACCAAGGCAACGAUGCGUAGCCGACCUGAGAGGAGGACCAGCCACCCUGGAACUGAGACACGGUCCAGACUCCUACGGGAGGCAGCAGUGGGGAAUAUUGGACAAUGGGCGCAAGCCUGAUCCAGCCAUACCGCGUGAGUGAAGAAGGCCUUCGGGUUGUAAAGCCCUUUUGUUGGGAAAGAAAAGCAGCAGGUUAAUACCCCGCUGUUCUGACGGUACCCAAAGAAUAAGCACCGGCUAACUUCGUG
rnacentral:rRNA from 1 species